CCUACGGGAGGCAGCAGUAGGGAAUAUUGCUCAAUGGGCGAAACCCUGAAGCAGCAACGCCGCGUGGAGGAUGAAGGUUUUCGGAUUGUAAACCCCUUUUGUUAGAGAAGAAAAUGACGGUACCUCAAGCAUAAGCAGCGGCUAACACCGUGCCAGCAGCCGCGGUAACACGGAGGGUGCCAGCGUUACUCGGAAUCACUGGGCGUAAAGGGGGCGUAGGUGGGAUAGCAAGUCAGGUGUGAAAUCCUAGGGCUUAACCAUAGGAGUGCAUUUGAAACUGUUAUUCUAGAGUAGGGGAGAGGUAGGUGGAAUUCGUGGUGUAGCGGUGAAAUCCGUAGAUAUCAAGAGGAAUACUGAUUGCGAAGGCAGCCUACUAGAACAUAACUGACGCUGAUGCGCGAAAGCGUGGGGAGCAAACAGGAUUAGAUACCCCUGUAGUC
rnacentral:rRNA from 1 species